rnacentral:rRNA from 1 species
GGACCCGCACAAGCGGUGGAGCAUGUGGUUUAAUUCGAAGCAACGCGAAGAACCUUACCAGGUCUUGACAUCCCACUGACCGGCUUAGAGAUAGGCUUUUCCCUUCGGGGACAGUGGUGACAGGUGGUGCAUGGUUGUCGUCAGCUCGUGUCGUGAGAUGUUGGGUUAAGUCCCGCAACGAGCGCAACCCUUGAUCUUAGUUGCCAGCAUUCAGUUGGGCACUCUAAGGUGACUGCCGGUGAUAAACCGGAGGAAGGUGGGGAUGACGUCAAAUCAUCAUGCCCCUUAUGACCUGGGCUACACACGUGCUACAAUGGACGAUACAAAGGGCUGCAAACCCGCGAGGGGGAGCCAAUCCCAUAAAAUCGUUCUCAGUUCGGAUUGUAGGCUGCAACUCGCCUACAUGAAGCCGGAAUCGCUAGUAAUCGUGGAUCAGCAUGCCACGGUGAAUACGUUCCCGGGCCUUGUACACACCGCCCGUCACACCACGAGAGUUUGUAACACCCGAAGUCGGUGAGGUAACCUUUACAGGAGCCAGCCGCCGAAGGUGGGACAGAUGAUUGGGGUG